rnacentral:lncRNA from 1 species
AAAGGACAAUGCCAGGGUGUGGGCUCAAAGUUUGCCCAGCAGUGGGAGUAGUUCCAGCUGGUUCCAUAGUGCACUCUGAACACGAAAUCCAAAUAUUUUGGAAAUCGGUCCCAGAGGUCCCGAGAAAACCCGGUUCAAAUGUUAAACUUGAACAGUCACUUUAUAAAGCCCAAGCCAUUUGCCCAGUAGUGGAAAUUGUUAAAAUAGGUUCCUUACUUCACUCGUAACACGGAAUCCAAAUAUUUUUAAAAUCGGUCCCAGAGGUCCCGAGAUAAACAGGUUCAAAUGUCAAACUUGAACAGUCACUUUAUAAAGCCCAAGCCAUUUGCCCAGUAGUGGGAAUGGUUAGAAUAGGUUCUUUACUUCACUGUUAAUACGAAAUCCAAAUAUUUUAGAAAUCGGUCCCAGAGGUCCCGAGAAAAACCGGUUCUAAUGUCAAACUUGAACAGUCACUUUAUAAAGCCCAAGCCAUUUGCCCAGUAGUAGGAAUGGUUAAAAUAGGUUCUUUACUUCACUCUUAAGACGGAAUCCAAAUAUUUUUGAAAUCGGUCCCAGAAGUCCCGAGAAAAACCGGUUCUAAUGUUAGCCAGCCAUUGUUAGCAAGCCAUUUUAAGCAGCCACAAACCUAACAACCUCUUUUCUUGAAAUAACAUUCAGAUAGUUAGUGGUUUCACUGUUAAAAGGAUAAAAAAACAGAAAUAGACGUUUAAAGGUAAUUGUUGUUUCUCUUGCUUUUCAGUCUCUAUCUACCACAAUCAGUCCUAAGUUCGAGUAGCGUCAUGCAAUUAAUAUACGUAAUGGCAAUGAAAAAAUCUUAUCAAGACGAAUAAAAUAAGCUCAAACACGAAGUAGUAAAUAGAUACCGUUGAGGAGUUCCCUCGUCUCACUGUCGUCUCCAUCGUCAGGUCAGGUCUUAACCUCCACAGUUUUGUGGUGUCGGAGACAUAUACCCGAAUGACAAGUUUUUAUUCGAUAUGUGCUUACAAUUUCCGAGAGUUCCCUAUUGUUUUAAGGUUUCUAUCACCAGACCCUGGACCCUGGAACUAUUUGGAAAGUAAAUCCUUUUAAACAAUAAAAUGAUUGUUUAAAUCGGUUGGUAAACGACGGAGUUAUGCACGUACUUACGUAAAAAGAAUACAAACGAACUGAGAAACUCCUCCAUUUUUUGAAGUCGGUAAAAAAAAAUCUCGUUCAAUACCUCGUAUUUGUCGAUUAAUAUUAUAAUGCAUUUCAAUUAAGGUAAUAAAAGUGCAAUAGUUAAGAGUUCGUAAGCAUAUUUUUCGUAAUAUUGAAUAAGAGUCAAACCAGUUUUUCUCAGGACUCCUGGGAUAGAUUUCGAAAUAUUUCGGUCUGGGACCUAUUAUAAGCCUAUGGAACAUAAUACACUAUGCAGUUACUGUGGGCAACUCUUGAGCCCAACUUCCAUACAAAGAAUAGCAUUGUCCUUUA